GGUUUUAUAGUUUAUUUUAAAAUAUUAAAUUGCAAAUUUAAAGAAACAGGUUGUUGAAACUU
rnacentral:tRNA from 1 species